AUCCUUUUGUAGUUCAUAAGUGUGAUGGUGGGGUAUUCACAUGCAUGCGUAAGAUGUGCCUCUCUCAAACCUUGUUAUGGCUUCGGCACAUUACCUGAAGUGAAA